CUAGGGGUCCCCAUACCAUCCAUCCAUCCAACAUAAUACUGUCCGGCUGCAGCAUCAUCUUUGUCCCAGUUGAAAAAAACGGCAGGGACAAAAUCCAAAGAGUAGGAGCGGGACUAGCACUCCUCUGUGCUUACUCAUGUCCUGUCAGACUGCAGGAUGAAAACAGAGAGGAAAGGGUUACAGAGCAGCCUGCAGUGAUUGGAUGAAGAAACCCAGCAAAGCACAGAAGAUACAGGGAGGAAGUGAAUGCAUGAGUAACUUGUUCACGCUGUCAUCAGCCAUUGUUCUGGUAAAUGGCGAGUUAAACAGAUAUAUCCAAGCGUAAAAUACUAAAAAAUGGUCCCUGCGGACGCCUGGGGGCUGUUGUUUGAAAUCAAGUACAUAUCAAUUGAGCAUCGAAAUCAAGGUAAAGGACGAUCAGGAAGAUCAGAACAAAGUAUCAAAGAAGAAACUUCUCCUCCCAUGUUGCAUAAUCUCCAUGGUUUCUAUUUCCUGAGGAUGACACAAG